CCUACGGGAUGCAGCAGUGGGGAAUAUUGCACAAUGGGGGAAACCCUGAUGCAGCGACGCCGCGUGAGUGAAGAAGUAUCUCGGUACGUAAAGCUCUAUCAGCAGGGCAGAAAAUGACGGUACCUGACUAAGAAGCCCCGGCUAACUACGUGCCAGCAGCCGCGGUAAUACGUAGGGGGCAAGCGUUAUCCGGAUUUACUGGGUGUAAAGGGAGCGUAGACGGCAGCACAAGUCUGGAGUGAAAUCCCGGGGCUUAGCCGCGGAACUGCUUUUGAAACUGUGCGGCUGGAGUGCAGGAGGGGUAAGCGGAAGUCCUAGUGUAGCGGUGAAAUGCGUAGAUAUUAGGAGGAACACCGGUGGCGAAGGCGGCUUACUGGACUGUAACUGACGUUGAGGCUCGAAAGCGUGGGGAGCAAACAGGAUUAGAUACCCCAGUAGUC
rnacentral:rRNA from 1 species